AACGAACGCUGGCGGCAGGCCUAACACAUGCAAGUCGAACGCACCGCAAGGUGAGUGGCGCACGGGUGAGUAACACGUGGGAAUGUACCCUUUGGUUCGGAAUAACGUUUGGAAACGAACGCUAAUACCGGAUGAGCCCUGUGGGGGAAAGAUUUAUCGCCAAAGGAGCAGCCCGCGUCUGAUUAGGUAGUUGGUGGGGUAAAGGCCUACCAAGCCGACGAUCAGUAGCUGGUCUGAGAGGAUGAUCAGCCACACUGGGACUGAGACACGGCCCAGACUCCUACGAGAGGCAGCAGUGGGGAAUAUAAGACAAUGGGCGAAAGCCUGAUCCAGCCAUGCCGCGUGAGUGAUGAAGGCCUUCGGAUUGUAAAGCUCUUUCGCAGACGACGAUGAUGACGGUAGUGUGAGAAGAAGCCCCGGCUAACUUCGUGCCAGCCGCCGCUGUAACAC
rnacentral:rRNA from 1 species